rnacentral:rRNA from 1 species
CCUACGGGUGGCAGCAGUGGGGAAUAUUGCGCAAUGGGCGAAAGCCUGACGCAGCGACGCCGCGUGAGGGAUGAAGGUCUUCGGAUCGUAAACCUCUGUCAGCAGGGAAGAACGGUCACUGUGCUAAUCAGCAGUGAAUUGACGUUACCUGCAAAGGAAGCACCGGCUAACUCCGUGCCAGCAGCCGCGGUAAUACGGAGGGUGCGAGCGUUAAUCGGAAUUACUGGGCGUAAAGCGCUCGUAGGCGGUAUGUCAAGUCAAGGGUGAAAUCCCCGCGCUCAACGUGGGAACUGCCUUUGAAACGGGCAAACUGGAGUGUGUGAGAGGAUAGUGGAAUUCCAGGGGUAGGAGUGAAAUGCGUAGAUAUCUGGAGGAACAUCAGUGGCGAAGGCGACUAUCUGGCACAUAACUGACGCUGAGGAGCGAAAGCGUGGGUAGCAAACAGGAUUAGAUACCCCUGUAGUC